UCUUCGGUAGUAUAUCGGAUAGUACACCCGCCUGUCAUCUCUUCUGAUACUUGCGCUCGCGGGAGAGCGGGGUUCGACUCCCCGCCGAAGAG